rnacentral:rRNA from 1 species
CAUGCCGUAAACGUUGGGCGCUAGGUGUGGGGCUCAUUCCACGAGUUCCGUGCCGCAGCUAACGCAUUAAGCGCCCCGCCUGGGGAGUACGGCCGCAAGGCUAAAACUCAAAGGAAUUGACGGGGGCCCGCACAAGCGGCGGAGCAUGCGGAUUAAUUCGAUGCGACGCGAAGAACCUUACCAAGGCUUGACAUACACCGGAAACAUCCAGAGAUGGGUGCCCCGCAAGGUCGGUGUACAGGUGG